ensembl:lncRNA
UGACACAGGUUGCUGCAGUAGUGGAAGGAUUUCUGCAGCUUGCUUAUUCUGAUGGAGAGAGUAGCCAUACAAGCAGGCAGGAUUUCACAGAAACGUUGAAUUCUGACAAAUGUGGUGAAAUUUCUAAAGACGUUACCUCAGCCAUUCCCAUUGUUAACACACAGUCCAUGUCUGUUGAUGAUGAGGUCAUCUGUUGCGUUGCUACUGCCACUGUCAGUGACAACACACCUGGCGUAUCAGUGGGUUCUUCUGCCAGUGUUACUGGUGACACACGUGUCUUCUCUAGUAACACCUCCAGUGUGUCCAAUGGACCUACCCAGCCAAGUUUAUCCAGCACAUCCUACAGUACAUAUCUUGGCCUGUUUGAGGAAGAAUACCUGUCAAAUGACCCCGACCUCCAAGAAGCCAUUUCAAGGUCUUUAGACGUGCAAGUAAAAGAAAAGGAGUCACCUACUAUCUAGUUUUGGAUCAGUUUGAAUAAGCAAACUACAAACUGCAACCUAC